AAUGACCAAAUAUGAUACUCGGGCUAAGGGUCAUGUUGAUAAUUUUUCUUACAUCUCCCCCUCCCGGAGCCCAGGUAUCAUAUAUGCCCCAAAAUUAAAAAGCCUUGAAUACUAGAAAAAAAGCACCUAGAUCUACCAAGAUUGAGUGAAUACAAAAAUUAUGGUGAUUUUAUUUCGAUCUUUCGA
rnacentral:antisense_RNA from 1 species